GCUCAUGGCUCAGAAUGAACGCUAGCUACAGGCUUAACACAUGCAAGUCGAGGGGCAGCAUGGUCUUAGCUUGCUAAGGCCGAUAACGACCGGCGCACGGGUGAGUAACGCGUAUCCAACCUGCCUUACACUCUUGGACAGCCUUCUGAAAGGGAGAUUAAUACAAGAUGUUAUCAUGAGUAAGCAUUUUCGCAUGAUUAAAGGUUUACCGGUGUAAGAUGGGGAUGCGUU
rnacentral:rRNA from 1 species